GAGGAUUUGAUGUUUAAUUGAGGAAAUGGAUAAAAAAUUGGUAUGUGUCGAGCAACUAUAGCCACCUGAUAGAAGGGUAAAUUAGAAAGUUCAGAUUACAUUAUGCCAACAGAGAUGAUAACAAUGCCAACCAAGCUAAAAGUUGUCCAGGAAAACUUUUGUAUUGGAGACAAGACAAGUUAAUGACUUAAUGAUAGACUCACUGCAGAGAGAGAUGUUGGAAAAGUGGAUUUUGUUAACAAA